rnacentral:ncRNA from 1 species
AGGAGGAUCCUGAGUACGGCGGAACACGAGGAAUUCCGUCGGAAUCCGGGAGGACCAUCUCCCAAGGCUAAAUACUCCCUAGUGACCGAUAGUGAACCAGUACCGUGAGGGAAAGGUGAAAAGUACCCCGGAAGGGGAGUGAAAGAGAACUUGAAACCGUGUGCUUACAAGUAGUCAGAGCCCGUUAAUGGGUGAUGGCGUGCCUUUUGUAGAAUGAACCGGCGAGUUACGAUCUGAUGCAAGGUUAAGCAGCAAAUGUGGAGCCGCAGCGAAAGCGAGUCUGAAUAGGGCGUUGAGUAUUUGGUCGUAGACCCGAAACCAGGUGAUCUACCCUUGGUCAGGUUGAAGUUCAGGUAACACUGAAUGGAGGACCGAACCGACUUACGUUGAAAAGUGAGCGGAUGAACUGAGGGUAGCGGAGAAAUUCCAAUCGAACUUGGAGAUAGCUGGUU